rnacentral:rRNA from 1 species
GACAGAGGCCUCGAGCGUUAGGCGGAAUCACUGGGCUUAAAGCGUGUGUAGGCGGGCCCGUAAGUGUCUUGUGAAAGCCCCGGGCUCAACCUGGGAAUUGCAUUCGAGACUGAAUAGCUAGGGUACGGUAGAGGGAAGUGGAAUUUCCGGUGUAGCGGUGAAAUGCGUAGAUAUCGGAAGGAACAUCAGUGGCGAAAGCGACUUCCUGGACCAGUACCGACGUUCAGGCACGAAAGCGUGGGGAGCAAACAGG